rnacentral:tRNA from 1 species
GGGCCUGUAGCUCAGUUGGUUAGAGCGCCACGUUUACACCGUGGAUGCCGGGAGUUCGAGUCUCUCCGGGCUCA